rnacentral:sRNA from 1 species
AUUGGAAGGGUCGCGCUCGAUUUUCUGGCGCAGCCGGUAGACAUG